rnacentral:miRNA from 14 species
GCUGGCCACGGCUUCUGUAACCUCAGCUCACUAAGCUAGGGCAGCAGCAGCAGCAGCAGCAGCAGCAGCAGCAGCAGCAGCAGCAGCAGCAGCAGCAGCAG